rnacentral:rRNA from 1 species
UACGGGGGGGGCAAGCGUUGUUCGGAAUUACUGGGCGUAAAGGGCUCGUAGGCGGCCAACUAAGUCAUACGUGAAAUCCCUCGGCUUAACCGGGGAACUGCGUCUGAUACUGGAUGGCUUGAGUUCGGGAGAGGGAUGCGGAAUUCCAGGUGUAGCGGUGAAAUGCGUAGAUAUCUGGAGGAACACCGGUGGCGAAGGCGGCAUCGUGGACCGAUACUGACGCUGAGGAG